AUACGGAGGGUGCAAGCGUUAUUCGGAAUCACUGGGCGUAAAGGACGCGUAGGCGGGUUGGCAAGUCAGAUGUGAAAUCCUACAGCUUAACUGUAGAACUGCAUUUGAAACUGAUAACCUAGAGUAUGGGAGGGGGAGAUUGAAUUAGUGGUGUAGGGGUAAAAUCCGUAGAUAUCUCUAGGAAUACCGAAAGCGAAGGCGAUCUCCUGGAACAUAACUGACGCUAAGGCGUGAAAGCGUGGGGAGCAAACAGGAUUAGAAACCCUAGUAGUCC
rnacentral:rRNA from 1 species